rnacentral:rRNA from 1 species
UCGAACGAGAAGUACGUAGCAAUACGUAUUGUAAAGUGGCGCACGGGUGAGUAACACGUGGGUAAUCUGCCCUUGAGUUUGGGAUAACCCCGCGAAAGCGGGGCUAAUACCGAAUAAGACCACGGGGACCAAAGUCCCUGAGGUAAAAGGUGGCCUCUAUUUAUAAGCUACCACUUGAGGAUGAGCCCGCGGCCCAUUAGCUAGUUGGCAGGGUAACGGCCUACCAAGGCAAUGAUGGGUAGCUGGUCUGAGAGGACGAUCAGCCACACUGGAACUGAGACACGGUCCAGACUCCUACGGGAGGCAGCAGUGGGGAAUAUUGCGCAAUGGGCGAAAGCCUGACGCAGCAACGCCGCGUGGGGGAUGAAGGUUCUCGGAUUGUAAACCCCUUUCGAUCGGAACGAAUCCCCUCCUGGUAAAUAAUCAGGAGGAUCGACGGUACCGAGAGAAGAAGCCACGGCUAACUCUGUGCCAGCAGCCGCGGUAGGACAGAGGUGGCGAGCGUUGUUCGGAUUUAUUGGGCGUAAAGCGAACGCAGGUGGUUUGGUAAGUCAGGGGUGAAAGACCACAGCUUAACUGUGGCAUUGCCUUUGAUACUGCCUUUCUUGAGUAGAGUAGGGGGAAGCGGAAUUCCGAGUGUAGAGGUGAAAUUCGUAGAUAUUCGGAGGAACACCGGUGGCGAAGGCGGCUUCCUGGACUCUAACUGACACUCAUGUUCGAAAGCGUGGGGAGCAAACAGGAUUAGAUACCCUGGUAGUCCACGCCCUAAACGAUGGGCACUAGGUGUGGGAGGUAUCGAC